rnacentral:lncRNA from 1 species
ACUAAAGGGAUAUUCUCGUCAUACUGUACUCUCGAUGACGUGCAUGUCGGGUCAUCGACAUGCAUGUUCAAUACCAUUAGUGCACAUGCUGCACCAGACUAUAUUUACGGACGUUGACUGUUUGCUUUAGGCACUGUUUCAAGCAUUGUACGAUGGCCGAUAACAAAAGUAUUUGUUAACGUUUUCAAGUUCCAUUCGGAGUAUCCGAAACUACGACGCAAUGUUAGUCGGAACUAACGUAUCUAGUUAAUCAGGUUAUCGCAUGAUGUUCUUGCUCAUUGGCAAACAUUAUUUCAGCAGUCGAUACGUCCUCCAAACUUCAGUAACUGUUUCUAUAGUCCCCGUUCGUCACAAACAACCGUUGACAUUUCGUCAACCUUAAAUUCGAAUAUAUUAACCGUUUAGACGCACGAGAAUAUCCCUUUAUCCAAACUAGCUAGUGUGUCUACUGUUUUCUUACUAGGCAAACAAAAGUUUGUCACAGCAUGUGCGCAGUUCACUUUACCUAUGUGCAUUUAUACUAAAAGCCAUUCGUCCACAAGCAAUGCAUUUGCGCUAUUGACGCAAGCUUUCAUGAAGGCCAAACCAAUGCUGAUUCGUCAAUGCUGAUCGUCAGCUUGAAAGUAAAGAUGAGCAAAGUGGUUCAACUGAAUCUUAUGGUUGCAGUAGGGCAUAUUAGACGUAAGUGACAAGUAUGUGUCAGCAAUUGCUUAUGCUUCUUAACCCUAGAAAAUUUUUAUUCAAUCCUUUUGGUGAUGACGUAAUGUGACAGAAAACAGUAGACACACUUAACCUCAUCGGGAACCCUGAAUGUAUGGAAUUUUUGAGCAUAGGUGCCUGUGAGUGUGUAAGGGUGGAUGUGGGUGUGUGAGUAUGUAUGUGCGUAUGUGAGGGUGUGCGUAUGUGUCAUCUUACACGUAAUUUAGUGAAUGAGUGCAUAGGUACUAGCUUCCAAGUAAAUACGUGGAUGAGUGCGUGUAGUCAGUGGUGUAUGGAACUCGCAUUGUGCCUGCCUGCUGCCAACGAAAUAUGCAAGCCCACACAGAGAAAACAGUUUUGUUGUGCGAAACUUCAUGCUGCUGGCAGGAUUUACAUGCAAGUCACAUAUUGCAGGUCUACCAUAAGCAGAGCGAUGUGUCAUCUGAUAGGUAACUCACAACAACACAUACUCUGCAUGUCCAGGGAAAGUGAGUUGUGCUCGGAACAGAUUGGCCAGACAGUUUUGUCCUAUCAAAUUCAGAAUUGUUUCAUCCUCCUCACAGUUGCCAUUAACAUCAGGAGCACACAUUAUUGCUAGAUCUGAAUGCCAGCUACCUAUUGCACUGCUGGCACGUAGUUGGAGACAAAGGUGCCGCCAGUUUUCCAGCUCGCUGUUGAUACAAUGCAAUACUGGUACAAAAUGUCCGUAUUCUGUGUUUUUAGUGUUGUAUGUUUGUAUAUGAGUCUUGCGUCGUAUGAACAUUACGUACAUGAGUUUAAAGUGUUCCCGCGAAAGUAGGUACUGAAUUAGCUCACGCCAGGAUUGCGUUGCGGAGAUAUUUGUAGCCCAUACAAUGUUUUAUGGCGUCAUUUACGACACUUUCUGUUUUUCUUGUCAUUGUAUGCACGUGAGUAGUGCCGCAUGUUGCGCUUGCAAAUCAUGUUCUCAAUGCCAUUUUCUUUUGGUACAAUUGGUCACCACUACAUAUCACUCGCAUACACACGCCCAAGCAAGUCCGAUAUCAAUCACUGUCCAGAAGUGCAUGAUGCAUUCAACCACGCAUAGAACACUGGCACACCAAGAACAUGAACUCACGCAAAAACGAGAGGACUAUUACACGACUUCGCAUUGGACACACCGCUAUCACACACAACUACAUCAUCACAAGAAGCCCGAGACCGAAAUGCAACACCUGCAACACUUUCAUCACUGUCAAACAUCUGCUACUCACAUGCCCACAAUACCAACACCACAGGACAAACAUACAAACAUACUGCAGAGACGCCAACAUCCCACUAACACUCACAACACUGCUCGGGGACUUACACCCCGAGCUAACAACACUACUCAUCCACUACAUACACAACACUGGGCUGAUAAAUGACCUGUAAAUCUCCUCCCCUAGAGCCAAGGACAAAAAAGCCAAAAAAAGCCAAAAAAGAAGCCAAAAAGAAAAAAAACAUUCAAAACAAUGAGAAUCAAAAUAAAAGACCCCAGAAUGGCAAAAUGGCAAAAAAAAAACAAAAAAAAACAAACAAAAAAUAAUAAUAGAAGGGGCAAUCCGGCUACCCGGGAGGAGAUAGCUAGGAACCCUGACCCACCCCUCAGCCCACCCUUACGAGCCAAGAAGACGACGGACACUUCAAGACAAUGGACGGACCAACAACGAAGACGGACGACAGAACCGGGCCCAAAUACAGAACGCUGUGGUGGCCCGUAAGCCACAAAUACCAUACCAUACCAUACCAGUGCAUCAUGCAGCAGAAGAAGCUUCAUUGAACACACUCGUCAUCAUGAACGGCAUCUUAGGAGCUUCAUGAGUUUGGAUCUGUGAACAGUAAGUGGAAUGGGAGCAUAAUGGUACACGCUACCAAACCAGAUUUUUUAUAAACAAAAACAUAACGUUUAUUACCGUUUGGAGGUGAUUUGUUUUAUUUGGUCAUUGUGUCAAUGUCAUGUUUGAUCAUAUAGGUAACGAAAAGCGUACCUAUUCAAAACGUUUAUUCUUUGUCAUGAUGUGCCUGCAGGUUGUUUUCGCAGUAUCCAAUAGCAACCGUGUAUGACCAGGCGCCCCUUGGACGCCUUGUCUAGCCCCGUCUUCCGGGACUGUGUGAUGACUGCCUUUGCAAUCUCAAGUGCCAGUUUCUGCCUCCGGCCUAUUUCUUUAUCAAAGGAUGUUGGUAACUGAACGACCAGCUCUGCUCCAAGAUUCCAAAUCGUUUUACGGUAUUUUAUGCCUACAAAACGUUAAUAUUUGCUGGACGCGUUGAUGCCCGAAUAGGAUGACCUUUAUUCCUAGAUACAGGCAUUCAACGUUGAAUCAAUUACGCUUCUAGCCUUCUGUUUAUUGGCUUUACAUACUUUUUAUUAAUAUUUAUCAUGUGUCUAGCCUGCAAUUCAUUUUACUCACCACCAUCGGACGUUACAACUAUAAGCUUAUAACUACUAUAUACAACUAUAAGCUAUAAGCAGCUAUUCGCUGACUUGACAUAUGAUAUUUUCGCGACGACUCGUUUCGCCCUUCCGCCAUGUUAACUAAUCAUCCGUUACAUCUUUAUGUCAACAGGUAUAGUACAAGUCAUCCUUACCGUCGAUACCGUAGAAGAAUUUGCCGUCGACCACGGAAAACAUAUUGUGCUUCCCGUUGCUGGUUGUUUUCGCAGUAUCCAAUGGCAACCGUGUAUGACCAAGCGCCGCUUGGACGCCUGGACGCCUCGCCCAGCCACGUCUUCCGGGACUGUGUGAUGACUGCCUCUGCACUCACAAGUGCCAGUUUCUGCCUCCGGCUUAUUUCUUUAUCAAAGGAUGUUGGUAACUGAACGACCAGCUCUGCUCCAGGAUUCCAAAUCGUUUUACGGUACCUUGUCCAUCACCAUCAAGAGAUCAACAUUUUUGCAGGCACUUACGUACGGCUGGUAUGUAUUCAUAUUUGAUUGUCAGCACGUUGUAGAAUGCUUUACAUUUUGUGUGAUCAUUUACUGUCCUCUUUCCUACACAAUGCCAACAACAAUGAUGUUUGUCAUCGUUUGCAUGCAUCUAUUGGGAUUGAUGUUUGCGUUUACUGACAGACGCUUGUCAACAUUUUCAGUAGUGUCCGGCGCGAUGCUGAAUGCGACCUGUUAUCUGUUGGAUCUACUCUGUGAGCCCAGACCCCAGUGCAAUGGCACUGUUCAACUACAGCGCUGGACGUCGUCUACUUUUUGCUAGAAACAAAUGUCAUCACCCGUCCAUGAACUUCGGGCUGCUCACAACUAUAUUGCCUUGGCAAGUUCUUUAAGACUUAAUACUGGACUUGGGCUGCGAAAGCUAAUGACAAUUUGGGCAGCUUGAUAUUGCAAUGGCUAUGGUGCGAAGGUCCAAUAUGGCGAACAGCUCGACUAUUCACCAUUGUCAACGCUUAUGAUAGCUAAAUAUCAUUUUGCUUGGUGUACAUUCACGUCUCGUUUCCUUGCUCCAUUUGUACCUCACCGGUCUUCCGUCACACAGGCUUCGGCUGCAGCACAAGCCACAUUCAUCGGCCUUAUCAUCAGUUAUUCAUCCUGCAAGUUUUAAGUCACUUCGUUGUGACCCGGACAUCGUCAUCUUUCAACGACUUCAAAUGACAUUUCAUUCAUCAUCGUCGAUCAGACUCAUCAUGUAAAGACACUUCCAUAAUGCUAUCUGCCAUCUACGUUUGUGCAGGAAGCAAAUAUCAGGUUGUUAUUAGCUGCGGGCUACUCAGUACCGACUGAACUACUGGCAGUAGUGUGCGAGCACCUAAUACUUGUAUUGUGAUACCAAAGCUAAAACAGAUGAUAGCUUAGCGUAUAGCGCCCUACCGCUUUCCACACACACAUAAACAAAACUUGACUUUGGGCAUUAGCACCAUGGCAGGAUAAACAGGCAGUUUGGCUGUUUUUCACUGCUUUCAUUGGCAGGUGUUAAUGCUCAUUCCCGUUUCAUGUGAUGUUAGAACAGCCCUUCACCAUAGUCCUGUUUUCUCCUUCGCUGUUUUCCAUAGACAUCAGAUGCGACAUGCACCCCAACGAUCGGUCAGGCGCAUCACCGUCAAUCCGGUCGCCUGUCAAUCAGUUCGUAAUCACCGUCAGUCUUCGACAUCGGCCAACACACUUAUCCACAUUAUCGCCUUACUUUUGAUCUUAUCAAUAUGCAAGAAUGAGUGCAAAAUGCAUUGCAAUAUUGUAUCAGUUGAUGUUGUAUCGCAAUGACAACGUAUCCUCACCUCACAUUUGUUGUGCAUACUUGAUCACGAAUGCUAGUUGUUAUACACAGAUUCACAUGGUGAAGUUUUACUCCGUUGGCGUUUUCUUUCCAUUCUUGUAGUCGAUCAAGAGCGAUUGCAGUUGUACAUGCGGCCUUACACAUGCGUCCCUUCAUGUUAGCUGAUUGAUAUGUUGGACACAUUCCUGUGAUUCCUGAGUGUGGUUCCUGUGACUCCAAGUAGUUCUGCAUUGGUAUUGCUUCACUUAUGUUGUACCCAAACAUCGUUUCUAGUUUUGUCUUAGCUUGCAGCUGUAUGCCAUGAACACACAGGGUACUGCGCAUCUUUAUCGUGACAUUACUGUAGUUUUGUCGCCUUCGCGGAUGAUUAGGACCAUGAGCUCAGUUGCAGAUGCGUCCAGCAGCCACCGACAUUCUACAUUUAGUCCUAUUAUCGGUUCUUAUCCACAUACCAACAUGAUUUGAACAUUUCACACGUUUAGUGAUGAAAUGAACAGGUAUCAUCUACUACAUUAUAUUUUCAUGUAAAGCACACUACAGUCUGUGAAAAAAGAAAACUAUUUGGAGCAACAAUCAUGCCUUAGACAGUAUAGUUGCCAUAGAUAUUACGUUGUGCAGCGG